UACGAAGGGGGCUAGCGUUGCUCGGAAUCACUGGGCGUAAAGGGUGCGUAGGCGGGUAUUUAAGUCAGGGGGGAAAUCCUGGAGCUCAACUCCAGAACUGCCUUUGAUACUGAGGAUCUUGAGUUCGGGAGAGGUGAGUGGAACUGCGAGUGUAGAGGUGAAAUUCGUAGAUAUUCGCAAGAACACCAGUGGCGAAGGCGGCUCACUGGCCCGAUACUGACGCUGAGGCACGAAAGCGUGGGGAGCAAACAGG
rnacentral:rRNA from 1 species